rnacentral:tRNA from 1 species
GGGAUUUAGGAUAACAUCAAGACCGUGGACCUUCAAAGCCCCAAGCAGGAGUGAAAAUCUCCUAAUCCCU